rnacentral:misc_RNA from 1 species
UCUCCGUAGGUGAACCUGCGGAGGGAUCAUUACCGAGUGAGGGCCCCCGGUCCGACCUCCAACCCUUUGUGAAUUGACCCUGUUGCCUCGGGGGACGCCGGCGCUCUCGGGCGCCGGGCCCCCGGUGGACCACCCAACCCUGCAUCGUUGCGUCUGAGUCGAAAUAUAAAUCAAUCAAAACUUUCAACAACGGAUCUCUUGGUUCUGGCAUCGAUGAAGAACGCAGC